rnacentral:rRNA from 1 species
UGUUUCGGCAAGGGGGUCAUCCCGACUUACCAACCCGAUGCAAACUGCGAAUACCGGAGAAUGUUAUCACGGGAGACACACGGCGGGUGCUAACGUCCGUCGUGAAGAGGGAAACAACCCAGACCGCCAGCUAAGGUCCCAAAGUCAUGGUUAAGUGGGAAACGAUGUGGGAAGGCCCAGACAGCCAGGAUGUUGGCUUAGAAGCAGCCAUCAUUUAAAGAAAGCGUAAUAGCUCACUGGUCGAGUCGGCCUGCGCGGAAGAUGUAACGGGGCUAAACCAUGCACCGAAGCUGCGGCAGCGACGCUUAUGCGUUGUUGGGUAGGGGAGCGUUCUGUAAGCCUGCGAAGGUGUACUGUGAGGUAUGCUGGAGGUAUCAGAAGUGCGAAUGCUGACAUAAGUAACGAUAAAGCGGGUGAAAAGCCCGCUCGCCGGAAGACCAAGGGUUCCUGUCCAACGUUAAUCGGGGCAGGGUGAGUCGACCCCUAAGGCGAGGCCGAAAGGCGUAGUCGAUGGGAAACAGGUUAAUAUUCCUGUACUUGGUGUUACUGCGAAGGGGGGACGGAGAAGGCUAUGUUGGCCGGGCGACGGUUGUCCCGGUUUAAGCGUGUAGGCUGGUUUUCCAGGCAAAUCCGGAAAAUCAAGGCUGAGGCGUGAUGACGAGGCACUACGGUGCUGAAGCAACAAAUGCCCUGCUUCCAGGAAAAGCCUCU